CAGUCGCCACGGUAAUACGGAGGGUGCAAGCGUUAAUCGGAAUUACUGGGCGUAAAGCGCACGCAGGCGGUCUGACAAGUCAGAUGUGAAAUCCCCGGGCUUAACCUGGGAACUGCAUUUGAAACUGUCAGGCUGGAGUCUUGUAGAGGGGGGUGGAAUUCCAGGUGUAGCGGUGAAAUGCGUAGAGAUCUGGAGGAAUACCGGUGGCGAAGGCGGCCCCCUGGACAAAGACUGACGCUCAGGUGCGAAAGCGUGGGGAGCAAACAGGAUUAGAUACCCCUGUAGUCCCUGUCUCUUAUAU
rnacentral:rRNA from 1 species